rnacentral:rRNA from 1 species
UACGUAGGGGGCAAGCGUUGUCCGGAAUCAUUGGGCGUAAAGAGCGCGUAGGCGGCCCAGUAAGUCCGCUCUGAAAGUCAGGGGCUCAACCCCUGAAUGCGGGUGGAUACUGCUGGGCUAGAGUCCGGAAGAGGCGAGUGGAAUUCCUGGUGUAGCGGUGAAAUGCGUAGAGAUCAGGAAGAACACCGGUGGCGAAAGCGCUCUGCUGGACCUUAACUGACACUGAGGGACGAAAGCUAGGGGAGCGAAUGGG